UCCGGUUUGGCACCGGCAGUCCCCCGAGAGUCCUCAGCGUUUUGCAACCUGUUAGCAACACGGGGCGGGGGUUGCGCUCGUUGCGGGACUUAACCAACAUCUCACGACACGAGCUGACGACAGCCAUGCAGCACCUGUGCUGGAGCUCCGAAGAGGGGCCAAUGUUUCCAUCAGCUUUCCCCAGCAUGUCAAGCCUAGGUAAGGUUCUGCGCGUUGCGUCGAAUUAAACCACAUACUCCACCGCUUGUGCGGGUCCCCGUCAAUUCCUUUGAGUUUUAACCUUGCGGCCGUACUCCCCAGGUGGGAUGACGUUAGCCUAUCGAGA
rnacentral:misc_RNA from 1 species